AGUGAAAAUGCUGGGUCAUUUGGUAACUCUAUAUUUAACUUUUUGAGGAACUGCCAAACUGUUUUCCAAAGCAGCUACACCAUUUACAAUCCCACAAGCAGU
rnacentral:pre_miRNA from 1 species